rnacentral:tRNA from 1 species
GCAGCAGUAGCUCAGAACCAGAGCGCCGGUCUUGUAAACCGGAGGUCGGGGGCUAAUCCCCCCCUCCUGGG